rnacentral:tRNA from 1 species
GCCCGCUUAGCUCAAUUGGUAGAGCAACUGACUUGUAAUCAGUAGGUUGAGGGUUCAAGUCCUUUAGCCGGCACCA